rnacentral:rRNA from 1 species
UGAGUAACCUGCCCUUAACUCUGGGAUAAGCCUGGAAACUGGGUCUAAUACCGGAUAUGACUCCUCAUCGCAUGGUGGGGGGUGGAAAGCUUUAUUGUGGUUUUGGAUGGACUCGCGGCCUAUCAGCUUGUUGGUGAGGUAAUGGCUCACCAAGGCGAUGACGGGUAGCCGGCCUGAGAGGGCGACCGGCCACACUGGGACUGAGACACGGCCCAGACUCCUACGGGAGGCAG